rnacentral:tRNA from 2 species
AGAGAUUUAGGCUAACUACUAGACCUGAGGCCUUCAAAGCCUCCAGUAAGAGUGAAAAUCUCUUAAUCUCUG